GUCCACGCCGUAAACUAUCAAUACUCGUUUUCAGCGAUACACAGUUGGAGACUAAGCGAAAGUGAUAAGUAUUGCACCUGGGGAGUACGAUCGCAAGGUUGAAACUCAAAGGAAUUGACGGGGGCCCGCACAAGCGGUGGAGCAUGUGGUUUAAUUCGAUGAUACGCGAGGAACCUUACCAGGGCUUAAAUGUAGAACGCAUAAGGUGGAAACACUUUAGUCUUCGGACGGUCUACAAGGUGCUGCAUGGCUGUCGU
rnacentral:rRNA from 1 species